AACGAACGCUGGCGGCGUGCCUAACACAUGCAAGUCGAACGGAGUGAAGGAGCUUGCUCUUUCAUUUAGUGGCGCACGGGUGAGUAACGCGUAGAUAAUCUGCCUUAGACUCUGGGAUAACAUCUCGAAAGGGGUGCUAAUACCUGAUAAGCCCACGAUGGCGAAAGUCGUUGCGGGAAAAGGGGGCCUCUGAAUAUGCUCUUGAUCUAAGAUGAGUCUGCGUACCAUUAGCUAGUUGGUAGGGUAAGAGCCUACCAAGGCGACGAUGGUUAGCUGGUCUGAGAGGAUGAUCAGCCACACUGGAACUGAGACACGGUCCAGACUCCUACGGGAGGCAGCAGUGGGGAAUUUUGCGCAAUGGGGGAAACCCUGACGCAGCAACGCCGCGUGAGUGAUGAAGGCUUUCGGGUCGUAAAGCUCUGUCUAGAGGGAAGAAAUGAUAAUUGGUUAAUACCCGGUUUUCUUGACGGUACCUCUGAAGGAAGCACCGGCUAACUCCGUGCCAGCAGCCGCGGUAAUACGGAGGGUGCAGGCGUUGUUCGGAUUUAUUGGGCGUAAAGCGCGUGUAGGCGGUUUGUUAAGUCUGAUGUGAAAGCCCUGGGCUCAACCUGGGAAGUGCAUUG
rnacentral:rRNA from 1 species